rnacentral:rRNA from 1 species
GAUGAACGCUGGCGGCGUGCCUAAUACAUGCAAGUCGAGCGAACAGACAAGGAGCUUGCUCCUCUGACGUUAGCGGCGGACGGGUGAGUAACACGUGCAUCACCUACCUCUAAUACUGGGAUAACUUCGGGAAACCGGAGCUACUACCGGAUAAUAUAUUGAACGGCAUGGUUCAAUAGUGCAUGACGGUUUUGCUGUCACUUAUAGCUGGUUCCGGGCCGCAUUAGCUAGUUGGUAAGGUAACGGCUUACCAAGGCGACGAUGCGUAGCCGACCUGAGAGGAUGAUCAGCCACACUGGAACUGAGACACGGUCCAGACUCCUACGGGAGGCAGCAGUAGGGAAUCUUCCGCAAUGGGCGAAAGCCUGACGGAGCAACGCCGCGUGAGUGAUGAAGGUCUUCGGAUCGUAAAACUCUGUUAUUAGGGAAGAACAAAUGUGUAAGUAACUAUGCACGUCUUGACGGUACCUAAUCAGAAAGCCACGGCUAACUACGUG